AUGCUCAACCGACUGAACCACCCAGGUGCCCCACAGCUGGACAAUUUCUAUCUGAUGACAGUGUCUGGACGAGCUGCUUUGGCAACCAUCUGCAAUAAUUUUGCUGACAGGGACUUUGCUGUUCCCGUAACAAGGAAACAUUGCCAGAACCAAAUGCUUGUGGCCUCUCCCCAUCUUUCAGAAGGACAAAUUGAAAGGCUGUUAUCCUGA
rnacentral:lncRNA from 1 species